rnacentral:lncRNA from 1 species
AACGGGGUUCACGAAGGGUAAACAUACAAAUAGGGAUGGCUAGAAAGGCUCUGGGCUAAACAAACAACUUGCCUCAGUGUGUGUUGUCAUGUUGUGAAGUGUCAAAAAAACAUACGCAAAGUCAGAGUGAUAGAGUCAUACCUGGCUGAACUCUCAUGAUGAUAUUUAGUGUUUGGCCUUUGUAUUCUCACCAUGUUGGUUAAACUUACAA